UACGUAGGGUGCGAGCGUUGUCCGGAAUUAUUGGGCGUAAAGAGCUCGUAGGCGGUUUGUUGCGUCUAUCGUGAAAACCUGCAGCUUAACUGUGGGCUUGCGGUGGAUACGGGCAGACUUGAGUUCGGUAGGGGAGACUGGAAUUCCUGGUGUAGCGGUGAGAUGCGCAGAUAUCGGGAGGAACACCAGUGGCGAAGGCGACUACCUGGCCUGUUAUUGACGCUGAGGCGCGAAAGCUAGGGGAGCAAACGGG
rnacentral:rRNA from 1 species